UACAGAGGGUGCGAGCGUUGUUCGGAAUUACUGGGCGUAAAGCGCGCGCAGGCGGCUUUUUAAGUCCGACGGUGAAUGCCGGGGCUCAACCCCGUGCCCGCCGCGGAUACUGGGGAGCUGGAGACGAGUAGAGGCAAGCGGAAUUCCGGGUGUAGCGGUGGAAUGCGUAGAGAUCCGGAAGAACACCGGAGGCGAAGGCGGCUUGCUGGGCUCGGUCUGACGCUGAGGCGCGAAAGCGUGGGGAGCGAACAGG
rnacentral:rRNA from 1 species